rnacentral:misc_RNA from 1 species
GGAAAUAAAAGUCGUAACAAGGUCUCCGUUGGUGAACCAGCGGAGGGAUCAUUACAGAGUUGCAAAACUCCCAAACCAUUGUGAACGUUACCUAUCCCGUUGCUUCGGCGGGCGGCCCGGGCCCCGCGCCCGGCGCCCCCCGGCCCCCCGUGGGCGCCCGCCGGAGGUAAACCAAACCCUUGAAUUGCAUGGCCUCUCUGAGUCUUCUGUACUGAAUAAGUCAAAACUUUCAACAACGGAUCUCUUGGUUCUG